rnacentral:rRNA from 1 species
AAUUUUGGACAAUGGGGGAAACCCUGAUCCAGCCAUCCCGCGUGUAUGAUGAAGGCUUUCGGGUGUUAAAGUAUUUUUGCACGGAAAGAAAGGGUACCCCCUAAUCCGGUUUCUUUCUACGGGCACCGACAGACAAGCCACCGCUGAACUCCGUACCAGAGCCCGCGGUAAUACGUAGGGUGCAAGCGUUAAUCGGAAUUACUGGGCUUAAAGCGUGUGUAGGCGAUUCGGAAAGAAAGAUGUGUAAUCCCAGGGCUCAACCUUGGAACUGCAUUUUUAACUGCCGAGCUAGAGUAUGUCAGAGGGGGGUAGAAUUCCACGUGUAGCAGUGAAAUGCGUAGAUAUGUGGAGGAAUACCGAUGGCGAAGGCAGCCCCCUGGGAUAAUACUGACGCUCAGACACGAAAGCGUGGGGAGCAAACAGG